UAAAAGUUGUAACAAGGUUCCGUUCGUGAGCCACGGAGGAUCAUUA
rnacentral:rRNA from 1 species